rnacentral:tRNA from 1 species
GGGCGCAUAGCUCAGUUGGUUAGAGCACGCGCUUGAUAAGCGCGGGGUCGCUAGUUCAAGUCUAGCUGCGCCCA